AAAAUGAAGUUUGUCUGUUAGUUUAUGUUUUGAUAGUUUCCUUUUCUGAAUUACUCAGUGUUGUCCACGUACUAGUUGUUAUAUAAAAAUUGUCGUUCUCCUUAUGAUGGCUGUACACCAGAUAUACUCAGGACAUAUUGAAACAUGAAUUACCAUUUCUACCACAUGGGAAAGUUUCAACAUCCUACGUUGAAAAUGGACUGGACGAUCCUGAUAAUAAUAAUAGUUUUAUGCAUAGUACGAGUAAUGGAUAUUGAAUAUAAUUGAUAGUCAAUUAAUAUUAGUGUAACAAAAAAUGGCUGUACACCAGAUAUACUCAGGACAUAUUGAAACAUGAAUUACCAUUUCUACCACAUGGGAAAGUUUCAACAUCCUACGUUGAAAAUGGACUGGACGAUCCUGAUAAUAAUAAUAGUUUUAUGCAUAGUACGAGUAAUGGAUAUUGAAUAUAAUUGAUAGUCAAUUAAUAUUAGUGUAACAAAAAAUGGCUGUACACCAGAUAUACUCAGGACAUAUUGAAACAUGAAUUACCAUUUCUACCACAUGGGAAAGUUUCAACAUCCUACGUUGAAAAUGGACUGGACGAUCCUGAUAAUAAUAAUAGUUUUAUGCAUAGUACGAGUAAUGGAUAUUGAAUAUAAUUGAUAGUCAAUUAAUAUUAGUGUAACAAAAAAUGGCUGUACACCAGAUAUACUCAGGACAUAUUGAAACAUGAAUUACCAUUUCUACCACAUGGGAAAGUUUCAACAUCCUACGUUGAAAAUGGACUGGACGAUCCUGAUAAUAAUAAUAGUUUUAUGCAUAGUACGAGUAAUGGAUAUUGAAUAUAAUUGAUAGUCAAUUAAUAUUAGUGUAACAAAAAAUGGCUGUACACCAGAUAUACUCAGGACAUAUUGAAACAUGAAUUACCAUUUCUACCACAUGGGAAAGUUUCAACAUCCUACGUUGAAAAUGGACUGGACGAUCCUGAUAAUAAUAAUAGUUUUAUGCAUAGUACAUGUUUAACAUAAUUAACAGUGUAACAACAAUUCAUAACAAAAUUAAUCUGAAAGAAAAAUACUACAAGGAUUAUCAGAGAAUCUGUACAGUAACUGAACAGAAACAAUGAUCUGUUGAUGUUUUUGAAGAGGACUGUUCUCCAAAAUCAUGACUAUGUUCCACAACAAAUUGGACCUUAUCCCUUAGUACCUAUGUUGUAAAUACUGUGAAUAUUGUAAUUCAUUUAAAUUUAAUUUUCUACUUGUACACUUACAAAAAACUAUUCAACUGGGGAAUUAAUUGUACUUAUUAUUGUAGGAGGUCUGUUAUUGUUCAAUGUUAUAAAUUAUAAUAUUCCUUUUAUUAUUAAAUUAUGUAAUUUAUUAAGUUUAUUGUUAUUGAAUUAUUUUAUUUAUAAAAUUUACUAUUAUUUAAUUAUAUUAUUAUUAAGUGAGUAACUACCAGUAAAAAAUUAUACUUUAUUUUUUCAAAAAUGAUGAUUUUAAAAUAAAUUAUAGAGUUAAUAAACUAA